rnacentral:sRNA from 1 species
CUCUAUAUCAAAGUUUGGGUUAUUCUUCUUCAGCUUAAAAAUAGUCAUCAUUCAUAUUACAGUUUGACUGAUAUCUCAAACAAUGAUAUCUCGAAUACAAAAGAUGUGUCAAAGUGAUUUGUAAGUCCCAACCACUUACUUUUUAAGUGUUUUUCCCUAAAUAUCUCGAAUUUUAUAAACAUAAACAGUCCCAUCUAGUUUGAGAUAACGAAGUUUGACUGUUAUAUGUCAUAUUUCAUUUAUCAUUUUUUGAUAUAGAGUAUUUUGGCAUGGAAACUACUGAAAGGCCACACUCAGAAGUCUUUAAUUAAGAGUAUUUGUUGUUAAGACUGUUACUACUGCAUUGUAUGUAUUUGUUGUUUUUCGUAUUGUUUUAUUUAUUUUACAUGUUUUCACAUAUCUAUUAUGUACAGGGAGAUUUUUCAUGCAUUUGUAGACUUCUAUACUGGACAUUUACAGAAACUACAUUUGAGAUCUUUCCUUUCAUAAGAUAUAGUUAAUUGCACAAUCAACAAUCAAAUUUGUUCAUUAUGAUAAAUAUAAAGCAAAUAUUAUUUAAAUACGCAAGGCCCAUGCUUGCAAAAAUUAACUGUUGCAUACCUAUUACUUGAAGUGUGAUAUACAGGUAAUACAUAGAAUGACUAGUACCUGCUCACAGAGAAGUUUAUAUAGAAGACAGCUCUUGUACAGGGGCACAGUAUAUACAUGUAUCUAUAAUUACUGCAAUGCUUGUAAACACUGUGGAAGAUGUAAACUUAUGUAUAUGUAAACUUUACAGCAAACAAAUAGGUUAUUGCUCACCCUUGGAGAACCUAUGCAUUAUUUUGUUCAUUUCAAGUUUCUAUUUAUUUUCCUGAUUUUUUACAUAUCAUUUUCCAAGAUGUUUUCAUUAAGUAAAAUGUAUGUAUACUCUGCCUCAUUUUCACUUGUGAAUUAUCUAUAUUUAGCUGUCUUUAAUUUUUGAUUUUCAUAAGGAUAUUUUCUUUUAUUUUUGUGAUUUGAAGUUUAGCCAUCUUUCCUUAUUGGCAGAUAAACAUCAAUAGACUUUACUUUCUUGUAUAAUAUGGCAAUUUUAGAUGUUUGUGUUCUAUAUCGAAUGUAUUAAAAAAAAGCACUGGU